GUAGAAUGAAGAAUUAUCCUUACCUAGUCGACCAGGCUCUACUGAUAUGAUAGAUAUGCCGAUGUCUAACUUGGAGAUCUUGAUUAGGUUGGGAAAUGUAUCAGGUAGGUGGUUAUUCAUACAUAUCAUGAAACAAAUAUGUCAUCGAGAAAACAUUGAAAUUAGUCUUAUUUCAUAUCGGUUAAGUAUAAACUUCUCCUAUUGGAUAAAAAGAGGCCACAUGACAUUCAUUAUUCUUCAGUAAUACAUUCAAAUCGGUCAUUAACAGAACAAAACGGACCAGAAAACCGGUCGUUAACGAACUUUUGACAUGAUAAUGACCGGUGGGGCGUGGUUUCUGUUUGAUAAUGACCGUUGGGGCGUGGUUUUCGUCUGAUAAUGACCGUUGAGGCGUGGUUUCUCUGUUAAUGACCGGUGGGGCGUGGCGUCUCGGUUUAGGGAGAUGUCCCCUUUAUAAAACAUUUUCCUGUUUUCAAUAUUAUAUUUUAAGUUUUUGAAUUGUUUACUAUAUGUUUUCGUUAAUUAUAAAAUUAUAGAGAACUUGAUUAAGUAUUUAUAUACUGAAAAAUAGCACUAAAAAAAUGGCAGUAUUACUACGACUGGUAUUCACUCUUGCCAAAGAAAUCGUAUAACUACUCUCGAGUUUGCUUUAGGCAUUUUGAAUUUACCAAAAUAUGGUUUCUCAAUGAAAUAAACAUAAUAGUUCUUGAAAAACUGGUCAUUAUCGUGAUACAGGGACUGCCCGUAGGACAGUGGUAUUAAUUGCGACAGCAAUAAUGACCUCGCCUCCGGCUCAGUCAUUAUCACUAUCUUAGUCCAUACCACUGUCAUGUGGGCAGUCCAUAUAUCACGAUAAUGACCAGUUUUUCAAGAACUAUUAUAUAAAUACAUGUAUGCUGUUGAGACAGUAACCAAAAAACAUGUUCAUAUAAUCAAAAUUAAAAACAAUUUGAUAGUAAUAUUUUCAAAAAAUACUUUAAAUGGCCUUAACAAUUACUAAGUAGAUGUAUUCAUGUAUGUUGUUGAAUUAUACUGAAAGUAAUUUACUAGUUCAUUUGACUGGCAAAAAAUGAUCAAUAUUUCAGGUUUUACAAAACAGACUGGACAAAAUGCAAGAUAGCAAUUAUGGAAGAGUCACAGUUGAAAAAACAUAAAAUCUAUGAAAACAGCUAACAGCUACUCAUAACAUUUUUUUAAUCCUUUUGAUAUUUGUUGUCUUGAUUUUAAACUACCAGUAAGCUUUAUAUAUUUAAAUAUGGAAACUCCAACAGCACAUACUAAUUUCAACAAUUUAAUUUUUUGGUAUUUUGUGUUUUUUUUCAGAUCAUGUAGAUGUAGAAGUAGAAGAAACAACAGUGAAAAAAGAAUGAGAGUCAUCAUUUUAAUAAACAUUUCGCUUGAAAUUGAAAUAAAUCUAUUUUUUUCUUCAUUAUGUAUUUCAAAUAUGAGCACUGGGAUAAACUUUAAUGAGACAGCAA
rnacentral:lncRNA from 1 species